GCGGCGGUUAGGUGCCAGCACCUGUGCCCGCAUGACCCGGGCUGGCCUCUGCGAGUGUAGACAAGGAGCUGGGGUCAAUUUCUCCCUUACUCUUCAACUCGUCCGGUAACUCCUGCCGUCUAAACCGCUCCUUGACCGAUAUUGACAGAGUACGACACUGCAAGCCUCUGGGAGGCUCAGCGCCCCCGUUUUGUGAGUGACCAAGGCCCGGGGCGCGGCGGGGCGGGCCAGAGCGCGCAGCGAGCUCGCACCAGGCCCGGGCGGGCCAGCGCCACAGCUCCCCGCGCGGUCGCCGCUGUCCCCGCGCGCCCGAGGCCUCAGCCCUGCCCCGAGGCGAGAGGAACUGGCGCAGUUGCUGGAAGCCGGUCAUGAGCCCUCCGCUGCCUGCGCUGGACAUGCUGGGACUCCUGUGACAUUCCUGUGACACUCAUCACCAUGCAGGACUGUGCGGUGUCUGCCCAGAUAUCCUGGCUGUUUGAAAAGCAUGGGUCUAACACCCAGAAUGGUGUUGCCAUGAAAGCCCCCUUCCCAGCCCAGCCUCACGCACAGUGCAGUGUUCAGAAGUGGAGAGACCAAACCUUUAGACCCAGGUGGAACCAGAAUCUGCCAUGAUGCAGCAUGAAAGCUCUCCCCAGAAGCGGCCACGGUACCCUUGGACUUCCC